UUCUCGAUAGAAAAUGGGCGAUAAAUUUAUAGUUAUUAAUGUUGAAUAAUUAUUAUUAAUAGGUUUAUUGUAAUGAAACGUUAUUCGAAUUUUCUUAUAUCUAGUUUUUUAAGAAAUAAAUUGAAUUUACUUAUUAAUAUUUAAUUAUUUAAAUUUAUAGUUGAUUAAUAAUUAAUAUGAAAUUUUAUUGGGGAUAAGCUCAGUAAAAAAAGACUAAUUUUGUUAAAAUAGGGUAUUUAGUGGGAAUAGAGGUUUCUAUCUAUUAUAGUGUGUUAUUACAAAUUAUCUAUAAAAUAAGAUUUAUAUAGGAUUUAGUUUUUUUAUUAGAAUAAUUAAUAUAAUUUGGUAAUUGAGGGAAUAAUGAUUAAAUUAGUAUAUUGAUUUGUGAAAGUAAAGUUUAUUGAUAGGUAUAGUGAAAGGAAUUCGGCAAAUAGGUUUUCGCCUGUUUAUUAAAAACAUGGUUUUUUGAUUAUGAUUUAAAAUUUGGCCUGCCCAAUGAGGAGUUGAAUGGCUGCAGUAUUUUGACUGUACAAAGGUAGCAUAAUAAUUAGUUUUUUAAUUGAGAACUGGAAUGAAAGGUCGGACGAGAAAUUGACUGUCUUUAUUAUAGUUUAAUAUAAUUUUAUUUUUAAGUAAGAAAGCUUAAAUAUUUUUAAAAGACGAGAAGACCCUAUAGAACUUUAUAUUUGUAUUAUUAAUUGGAAUAUUAGUAAUUAAUUUUAUUAGUAUGAAAAGUAUUGUGUUGGGGCGAUUGAGAAAUUAGAUUAACUUUUUUAUAUUAUUUUUUACUUAUAAGUAUAUGUUUGAUCCAUAAGUUAUGAUUAUUAGAUUAAGUUACCUUAGGGAUAACAGCGUAAUCUCUCUUGAGAGUUCUUAUUGAGAGGGGGGGUUGCGACCUCGAUGUUGGAUUAAAUUAAAUUACGGGUGAAGGAGCUCGAUAAUUUGGUCUGUUCGACCA
rnacentral:rRNA from 1 species